GAGUGUAAUACUUUGUGGAAAGGAAAAAAAAAACAAAGCAAUAGAGCUCUAAACCAGCCCUAUAAUGAAAAUUUUGAGUUGGGAUCUUCCAAAAACAUGCAGCCACAAAGCUAAAUUCAAAGUUUUUACCAAUUAUAUACUGAGAAUAUAUAAGCCAAAGCAAAACCAACAUGCAUAAAGGGCAAUGAAACAAGUGGUAAUCAGAAAGUUGAGAUCAGCCAAUAGCUAUAUUCACAAGAAACAAUACAAUAAGUGGAAUCUUAUUAUAUAAAGAAGACUUUUCUCUCUUCCUCCUUGCGCUACGUCAUCAAAUAGGUGAACCACAGUUUGCCACGUGUCCUCCUCACACUACAAAAACUCAAUCUUCGUUUUGGUUGCGGAAGGGCUUUUACACAAGUGAGCUAUCUUAGUAUUGGGCCGGAAAAUCAUCAGAAACCUAGGCCCAUUAGGCGCCUUCGCUUUCUCGACGUGAAGCGGACUUUUGUUUCUAAGGUUCAUCGUCGUCUCAGAAAGCUGAUUAGGUAUAACAUUAAUGGAGAUUCUCAAAAUUUGAGAGAGACGAGUCUUCUUCAUUAAUCGCUGUGUCUAUCUCGGUUCGUGUUGUAUUGUUUCGUUUUCGAUUCAUCUCCUUACUGGCGUUACAAGUUCCAUUGAUUCAGUGUCAUUAAUGAAAUCUUAACUCUUCCGAGCCACUGCAACCACGACCAUUCAAUUAAUGAUUAUUAUACCUUUCCAAGCGGUGGGUCUCUACCUAUAAAAAGGUAAGACCUCAUCCCUUGAGAAUCAUCCUCACAACUCCAAUAGCAUUUGAAGAUGACCAGCAUGGAGAUUGGCUUCUCCUCUUUCCUUCCCUCAACAGGUUAUAUCAGUCAGUGGAAAAUUCUGAGUCCAUGUAAUUAAAGCUACCGCAAACUACAAUGUUGAUGCUAGCGUAUUCAAUUGUUUGGAAGAGCCUCUUCUAUUCACUUAGUGAUCAUCUUUAAGGAUGUUUUAGCUUCUUUAGUUCUCUGUUUUAGUACUGCAGAUUUCUAGGCUUAUUGUGAUUACUGACAUUGUGUCUUUUUGGUCCAGACACAAUCCAUAACCAGGAUCGUAUUUAUAUCCCUUAUACCAAUACUUGAAAGGCUGUUAAGUCAUCAUUCUACUAAACUCGUAUCAUCUAAAGAUCUCAACAUCAGAAGUAGAGAGCUUCCACAAGAACAAUAUAUAUGAUGAAGCAGAGGAUGCUGUAAGGAUUGAUUUAGCAGGCAGAUUUGCUAUACAAUAUUUCUCUACAGAGAAGCUACUUAAGGUGAAUAUACAUACCGGAGGAGAUUGAUACAGAGCUCGACUUGGUUCUUCCAUAUCAAAUAAAUUUUAUGUCUAGGCAGCUCUUCGGCAACGGUUUCCAACUUUUAAAGCAGGAAGGAUUUGAAAAUACAAAACUAAAAUUCAUUAGAAGCUUUGUGGUUUCGGAAAGCUCGAGGAGGCAGACAAGCUUUUGGCUAACGUUCUGAGGACAGCAUUGGGAUCUGAUGUUUUUUUUAUCAAUUUUUUUUUUAUCAAAUGGGAUCUGAUGCUAAUACGUGUAAUAUACUUAUGAAUGAUAUCUUAGUAAAGUUGUACCUUUGUAAGGAUAUAGAGUGGCUUCUCUCA